GGUAAGAUGGCCGAGCGGUCUAUGGCGGUAGAUUCAAGAGUUAUUGACUCUUCUCUCAUUCAUUGAGAAUCCUACUCCCGAAAGGGGCCGGGGUUCGAAUCCCCGUCUUAUCA
rnacentral:tRNA from 1 species